rnacentral:rRNA from 1 species
GUUUGAUCCUGGCUCAGGAUGAACGCUAGCUACAGGCUUAACACAUGCAAGUCGAGGGGCAGCAUGGUCUUAGCUUGCUAAGGCCGAUGGCGACCGGCGCACGGGUGAGUAACACGUAUCCAACCUGCCGUCUACUCUUGGACAGCCUUCUGAAAGGAAGAUUAAUACAAGAUGGCAUCAUGAGUCCGCAUGUUCACAUGAUUAAAGGUAUUCCGGUAGACGAUGGGGAUGCGUUCCAUUAGAUAGUAGGCGGGGUAACGGCCCACCUAGUCUUCGAUGGAUAGGGGUUCUGAGAGGAAGGUCCCCCACAUUGGAACUGAGACACGGUCCAAACUCCUACGGGAGGCAGCAGUGAGGAAUAUUGGUCAAUGGGCGAGAGCCUGAACCAGCCAAGUAGCGUGAAGGAUGACUGCCCUAUGGGUUGUAAACUUCUUUUAUAAAGGAAUAAAGUCGGGUAUGCAUACCCGUUUGCAUGUACUUUAUGAAUAAGGAUCGGCUAACUCCGUGCCAGCAGCCGCGGUAAUACGGAGGAUCCGAGCGUUAUCCGGAUUUAUUGGGUUUAAAGGGAGCGUAGAUGGGUUGUUAAGUCAGUUGUGAAAGUUUGCGGCUCAACCGUAAAAUUGCAAUUGAUACUGGCAGUCUUGAGUACAGUUGAGGUAGGCGGAAUUCGUGGUGUAGCGGUGAAAUGCUUAGAUAUCACGAAGAACUCCGAUUGCGAAGGCAGCUUACUGGACUGUAACUGACGCUGAUGCUCGAAAGUGUGGGUAUCAAACAGGAUUAGAUACCCUGGUAGUCCACACGGUAAACGAUGAAUACUCGCUGUUUGCGAUAUACUGCAAGCGGCCAAGCGAAAGCGUUAAGUAUUCCACCUGGGGAGUACGCCGGCAACGGUGAAACUCAAAGGAAUUGACGGGGGCCCGCACAAGCGGAGGAACAUGUGGUUUAAUUCGAUGAUACGCGAGGAACCUUACCCGGGCUUGAAAGUUACUGACGAUUCUGGAAACAGGAUUUCCCUUUGGGGCAGGAAACUAG